GGAAUUAUGUAUGGACCAGGCUACAGAUAUUCAGCCACAAUGAAGAAAAAUGUGCAAAUUACAUCUACAGGAGAAGAGAACAAUGAUGGUUUGAUUCCAUAGUCCUGGGACAACAGGAAUCCUAGAACUAGCAGAAAAGGAAGAUCAACAGGCCUGAAGGAAAUUGGAUAGAAGUGUUCCUAGACUCAAAAUAAAAUAAUGCACGAAGCAUUGCAAACAUAUUCCUACAGCAUUCUCUACCAGUCUGCCACAGCCUGGGCAGCUCUUGUUUCCUGCAAGAUUAUUCAUUUAUUUUGAAGAGGAAUGGUAUGGAGGUUAUAAUUGUGCCAGCUCACAGCUCCUCCACUGAGAACUGAAGAGAGCAGUAUCUAAAUUAUAGAUGCUGUUAUGAAAAUGACAAGCCUCAGGUUCCUGUACAGUAGUCCACCUGAGCCCCUGACCCCGGGCAGGGUUACUCAGAAACAUCAUGUGAGCAAGAAAUAGCAGACUGAGGUCUAGUUUUACCCUUCCAGCUUGCUCCAGUAAAGAAAUCCAUAGGAUGCCCAUCCGCAACUGUUAGUAUUACAUACAAGCAUAGUGUGGACAAAACAAACUCUAGUGUUAUUUCACAGUGUGGCUGCUUUCAUGCAAACAGAGCUUAUACAAACAGAGUAAUUCAAGCACGGAUAAUUCAUGUUAACUCUUCACUGAAGACACAUCCAUCAGUGAUGCAUAGGAAGUGAUUUUACCCUUGCUUUGUUAUCACUUAGUUUGCUAAUACGGAGAAGUUAAUCUAAACAAGUUUGAACUGGAUUCAAAGUGUCAGCUUCAUGGAUUUUUUUUCUAGUUUACACUGAUAAAAUAAAAUUAAUUAAUGUAAACUUUUGGA